AAGGAACCCAACACAGUAUCUGGCAUAAAUUUACUGCUCAAUAUAGUUUUCGUUCAAUCUUUUUCCUUCUUCCCCCUUUUUCUUCCUCCCAUUUUAUAACUAGCAUCUGUUUACCUGCCUGCCUGAGUGUGUGGGUGCUCUGUGGUGCAGACCCUGGUCUUGGCGGAUGAAAACAAUGAGUAGUGGCCUAGGGAGGGGCGGAGGGCUCAUUGUUGACCUCUGGGGAGGUUCAGAGGCUCCCUUAGCCUAUAUUUCUCCAGACCCUUGACCACGUCCACUGUGCCUAGAGCAGGUGUUUCUGCCAGAGGGAAGUGACAGGAAGACCGUUUGCUCAGACCAGCCAACAGACCUUUGAUCUUGGGAGGAUGGGCAGAGAGGCCAGAGUCCGGGACUGCCGAGAAGAGCUGAGGUUUUCAGCAGUCAUCAGAGGAUUCCUUGCUUCUGAUUGAAUAGAUAAAGUUUGAAGUCCAAGAAUCUGCACAUUUACAAAGCAGUAGUUUUACUGAUGGAGUGGUCACAGUUUGUAGCAGCAGACCAAGGGACACUGCAUUUCAUCCUCUCCAUUGGCCCAGGUCUCCCAAAGACAACCCCCUGAGCGUCCCUGUGGUCUGCUGCCACCAUCGCCACACCUGUAGCUGCAACUCGUAUGGCUGUGGGUUGGGGAAGGGCUGUUGCCAGCAGAAGAGCUGCUGCCUGAAGCACUGCUGCUGCUAGGUGGCCUGGCCCGGCCCUGCUUCUGGGUACGCGGGCCUCUCACUGUUGUGGCC